rnacentral:rRNA from 1 species
AGUGAACGCUGGCGGUAGGCCUAACACAUGCAAGUCGAACGGCAGCACAGUAAGAGCUUGCUCUUACGGGUGGCGAGUGGCGGACGGGUGAGGAAUACAUCGGAAUCUACUUUUUCGUGGGGGAUAACGUAGGGAAACUUACGCUAAUACCGCAUACGACCUACGGGUGAAAGUAGGGGAUCUUCGGACCUUGCGCGAUUGAAUGAGCCGAUGUCGGAUUAGCUAGUUGGCGGGGUAAAGGCCCACCAAGGCGACGAUCCGUAGCUGGUCUGAGAGGAUGAUCAGCCACACUGGAACUGAGACACGGUCCAGACUCCUACGAGAGGCAGCAGUGGGGAAUAUUGGACAAUGGGCGCAAGCCUGAUCCAGCCAUACCGCGUGGGUGAAGAAGGCCUUCGGGUUGUAAAGCCCUUUUGUUGGGAAAGAAAAGCAGCAGGUUAAUACCCCGCUGUUCUGACGGUACCCAAAGAAUAAGCACCGGCUAACUUCGUG